UUUAAAUGAUGAAACGUUUUAAAAUCCAUUCUGAAUGUACGUUUUUGAUGUACUUUAAUAUGAGCUUUUUAACACUGAUUUGAU
rnacentral:snoRNA from 1 species